rnacentral:rRNA from 1 species
AUUAAAGGAAAUAAGAGCGCACAGUGGAUGCCUAGGCACCAAGAGCUGAUGAAGGACGCAAUUAACGGCGAUACGCUACGGGAAGCUGUAAAUAAGUGUAGAUCCGUGGAUUUCCGAAUGGGGCAACCUACUAUAAGUAGUUAUAGUAUCAAUUUAUUAGGCAACUAAUCGAUUGAAAGGAACGCAGUGAACUGAAAUAUCUAAGUAACUGUAGGAAAAGAAAGUAAUAACGAUUCCGGUAGUAGUGACGAGCGAACCCGGAACAGCCGGAUACCAAUUCCUAGUUAUCAAAUUUUAAUGAACUCGAAAUAGUUGGAAAACUAUAUCCUAGAAGGUGAAAAUCCUGUAGAGGUAGAUUAAAAUCUAGGGUAUCCUUAAGUACGGCGAGACACGAGAAAUCUUGUUGGAAGAUAGGAGGACCAUCUCCUAAGGCUAAAUACUCCUUGGUGACCGAUAGUGAACUAGUACCGUGAGGGAAAGGUGAAAAGAACCCCGGAAGGGGAGUGAAAUAGAUCCUGAAACUGUGUGCUUACAAGUAGUCAAAGCUCGUUUAAGAGUGAUGGCGUGCCUUUUGCAGAAUGAACCGGCGAGUUAUGAUAUAGAGCAAGGUUAAGUUUGAAGGAACGUAGCCGGAGCGAAAGCGAGUCUGAAUAGGGCGUUUAGUUGUAUGUCAUAGACCCGAAACUGAAGUGAGCUAGCCAUGAACAGGCUGAAGUGACGUGACCACGUCAUGGAGGGCCGAACCAGGACACGUUGAAAAGUGUUUGGAU